UUCACUUCUCGGCCUUUUGGCUAAGAUCAAGUGUAGUAUCUGUUCUUAUCAGUACAAUCCCUUUUAACACUGGUGAGAAAAGUAGGAUCACUGAACGUUACAAAUUAAUGUUCAACUUGGUAACUUUUUCAGUGGCCACUGUCUGGAUAAGGUUGAAACUAUGGUUUUAUAUUAGGUGAAUUUUA
rfam:Fukomys damarensis contig161151, whole genome shotgun sequence.